AUGGGGACCGGGAUCACACAGAGCCGGAUACACCCAGGGAGACAGACUGUGGCAGAUGCAAGAGACACCAAAAGCCACAAGCCUGCUCAGACACACCACCACUGUGUGCAAGACAUGUGUGGGCACAUUCAGAGAUCGUGUGAGGAACAGCGCUUCUGUGUGUGUGCACACACACACACACUCCAGCAUCACACACACACACACACACACACACACACACACACCUCCCUCAGGCGCCCGGAACAGCCCCCUGCCAAGCGUCCCGGGACAGGGACUGCCCGCAGCCAGCCAUGGCGGGAAGGUGUCCUGGAGAACAAUGCCCCCCGCCCCCGGCUGCCCCCAUCUCUGCACCACAGGGCCCAAGGGGGGCAAACAGGCGCCCGUCCAGCCCAGGCCAGGCACACAGGAGGCCUUCAGAAUGAAAUUUCAACUCCUUCCCCGUGGCUCCACGGCCUCCCGGGACGGGGAUCCUCACCACAUCGCCCCAUCACCUGUCCCCUCUAUAUGCUCUUCCCUCUACCCAGACCACUGUCCCAGCACCUCUGCCCCACCCUCAGCUUGGAGGCCACUCCUGCACCAGGAAGCUUACAGCACUUGGGGUUGCAAGGCCCCACUCUGCUGACCCCCGGGCCCUCUACUCCUCAGCCCAUGGUCUUACUUCCCUCUCCAUAAGGGCGUCGGUCCUGCACUGGCCAUCCAACCACCCUAGGUUUCAUCCCCACCCUGCCGCUGACCUUCCUGGGUGAACUUGGCCUGGGCCAAGUUCAGAUGAGUUAGCUCGUCUGUCAGAUGGGUAGAAAAUUUGAAUGUCAGAAUAAGUGAAGGCUUGCUGUUCAUCAAACCGGGUCACAUCAGCACUGUCCCUACUCUGAUCCUGCCAGUGGCACUUGACUGGCCCACAAAUCCCUACACGACUCAGCCCCACUGACCUCUCCAGCAUCAUCUCCUGUCACUCACCACCACCACUCCCACCUCAGUUCUGUCCAGAUACCUGGCCUCCUACAUUUCCUGGAACAUUCCAAGCCCAAACCUACCCCAGGGCCUUUGCUCUUACUGUUCCUCCCCCCACCCCCCCUACUGAAAAUCCAUUCCCCUGGGGUCCCAUACCUAUUCCUCCUUCAGAUGUGUCUCCACACUACCUCCUCAGAGAAGCCCUCUCUGAUCCCCGCAGCUCCAAAACACCCCUACUUAUCUCUGUCAUGGUCUUCUCCCUGGCUGAAAUGGUUUUAUCUGUUCAUGGGUUUGCUUGCUGAUCUCCUGCCCCCUCCACCAGAAUGCAGGCAGAGACCUUGUCUGCCGCUUUGUUCCCUGGAGUCUGGUAUACAGUAGGUGCUCAAGCAAUGGUUGUACCAUGAAGGGAAGAUCAUCAAAGUGCUGCCCUGCCCCUGCCCCAGCCCAAAGUUUAGGGACUGGGAACCAGGUGGCUCCCUCUGAGUCCCAGAACUUGUCUGGUUCCCAGCCCCAUAAAAACCACCACUCUCACUUUGCCCUUUGGCAGCAAAGAGGGAAGGAGGCAGGCCUGGGGCCCAGAGGCUGACCCCAAUGUGGCUUCAGAGACCCCAGGCCCAGAGAGGAUGCAGACCAUGGCCGCCAGUGUUCACAGAGCACCUUCUACAAGGCCCAGGAGCCGUCUGAACACCACACACAGUGCUCACGGCCACUCUGCAAGGUCAGGAUCAGCAUAAUGACCCUUUCCAGUGAAAAAACUGAGGUGUCGCAGGGGUGCAGCAGCAUGGUGCAGCAGGGGUGCAGCAGCAUGCUCCCAGCCGAGCAGCCAGAGAAAGGCACAGCCAGGAUUCGAACCCAGCUCUGCCUGGCACCAAAGCCCACGUGAGUGUGCGCUCACCCACCCGUCAGCCGACAGACACCGUGUGAGCACUCACUGUGUGCCAAGCACUGGUUCCGAGCACUGGUCCUUGAAGCUGACGAGUACUGAGACCACAGGCAGGGUAGUCAGCCCCUCUGGGCCUCAGUUUUCCCAGCUGUGGAACAGACCACAGGCACCUCCUUGUCAAAUUGUUGGGGGAUUGAAAGGAGAUCGCCUGAGGUCACAAAGAGCUGGGAUCCAGUGCUGCCCUGCACUGCUGCAUGCUCUUGCUCCCCUAUGAGCCUCAAUUUCCCCAUCUGGCACCCACUGUAUCAUAGGGUUGUCAUGAGACUAGGACAAGAUAUUUGCCCAGUGCCUCGAAUACCUUAAGUGCUUAAUAAGUGCUUACAGUCAUUUACUCCAGUCCCCUGGGCCCUGCCUUCUCCAUCUGUAACCCCAGAGGGCAGCCCUGAUCACCCAAGACCUCUUCUAGGUCACUGGGGCAGAAGUCCGGGGGUCCCGGGGUGGCCCUGCGCGGUGACUAGGUCCCGGGGACCGGGGAGGGUGGCAGGGUGGCUGUGAUCGGGAAGCUGCAGGAGGCCCGGUUGACUCACCGGCCAGCAGCCGGGCUUGGGGGCUGGGCCACGGCCCCCCACGCGCCCCUCUGGGCCCUGCCCCGCGCCCAAAAGUGCUGUGUCAUGCUCUGUCAUGUGGCUCCAGGUCAUUAAUACCCGAGUUCUGGGAAGCUUGGGCCGAGUUCCCGGAAGGGGUCAGUCAGUUCAGUAAACAGAUUGGCUGGUUGGUCGUCACAGCUGAGCCGGGCGGGCCUGCAGCUCGGGAGGCAGGACGCAGGGACUGGUGGCCACGGGGGACACAGGAACUGCCCCCAUCCCUGUGCAGGACUGGCACCUCCCAGGGCAGCCUGGCCCAGGCUCUACAGAGGAAAGGGGAGGCUAAGGCUCAGAGAGGGCAAGGCACUCGCCUGGGGCCACAGAGUGAGUCCAGGGUUCAAAUUCAGAUUUCUGGACUCAUCCUCCAGUGCUCUCAGCAUCUGUCUGACCAAAGGGCCGGAGACACUACAUCCUCCUUACCCCCAAAUCCUGACCUGGGCCUGACGUCAGUUUGUCAGAUGAAGGCAGACACGUGGAAGGCCAUUUGGGAAGGAGGGAGGUUUGGAAGGGUAUCAGGAUGUGCCCUGUGGGAGGUCCUGGAACACUAGCAUCUAGCAUUUCUAACUAUGUGUCCGCCGGUACAUCGGUGCCACCAGGGUACUGCUCUAAGUGCCUCACAUUAAGUCACUUGUUUCAUAUGCAGCCACCUUCACACAAAUAAUCAUAGCCAUCAGCUGGAAAGCACCUACUAAGUGGGGCACCUGGGUGGCUCAGUGGUUGAGCGACUGCCUUUGGCUCAGGUCGUGACCCCAGGGUCCUGGGAUCAGGUCCCGCAUUGGGCUCCCCAAACGGAACCUGCUUCUCCCUCUGCCUGUCUCUCUGCCUCUCUCUCAAUGUCUCUCGUGAAUAAAUAAAUAAAACCUUUGGGCA
rnacentral:lncRNA from 12 species